rnacentral:lncRNA from 13 species
CCCUGGCUGUCCCCUGUGUCACCCUGGAUGUCCUCAGUGCCACCCUUGGGGUCCCCAGUGUCACCCUUGGGGUCCCCAGUGCCACCCUUGGGGUCCCUGGGCCACCCUUGG